AUGCUGGACAAUAGGAGAGCUCCUAAUUCCUUUGAUAGGGAGCUGGAUAAGAAAAGCUCCCCGGAGCGGCUGCUCCAGGCCAGCGACUGGAACUACUGGCUCCUCACCUCCGACCUCGAGAGGGUGGUCGAGCCCAACGUCGCGUACCUCAAGCAGUGCGGGCUCAGCGCCGCCGACAUCGCCAAGCUGCUCGUCGCCGCGCCACGGCUCGUCACCAUGCACCCGGAGUACGUUCAGGACGCCGUGCGACGCGCCACGCAGCUCGGCGUGGCGCCCGGCUCCCAGAUGUUCCGCCACGCGCUCUCUACCGCGGGAUGCAUCGGCCAGGAGAAGGUCGACGCCAAGGUUGCCGUCCUGAAAGAGACGCUCGGCUGGUCGCAGGAGGAGGUGAGCCUGGCCGUCAGCAAGGCACCGCGGAUCCUGGUCGCGUCCGAGGAGAGGCUGCGCCGCAACGCCGAGUUCCUGCUCAACGAGGUCGGGCUGCCGCCGCAGUACAUCGCGCGCCGGUCAGUGCUCCUCGUGUACAGCCUCGAGAGGCGGGUAUGUAGUGCCCCGGCACCUCGUGCUCAAGGCUCUCAAGGAGAAGGGGCUGGUUGAACAAGAUCGGUGCUUCUUCAACGUGGUCGCGCCGACCGAAGAGAAGUUCUUGGAGCAAUUCGUUGCUCCCUACGAGGAAUCCAUCCCCGGCCUUGCUGAUGCUUAUGAGUCUGCCUGUGCGGGGAAGGUGCCAAAGACAUUUCAACAUUGACCGGAAUGGAAGGAGAAUUUGGAGGUCACUCUUUGUCACUAACCAGUACUGUUCUUCACUAACCAUGAUGCUUAAUGGCUGGAAUAUCUUUGGUCCCACUACUUGGUUAUAACUUGGAAAUACAAUUUAACUAUGAAGGAAGGUCUGCAUUUCUUUCAUUGGGCUACGGAAGUACAAAAUUAGUGUUUCCAUGAAGAAGUGAACCAUCUCAGCCAAGCUAUGCACAACGCUGAGGUGUUACCUAGGCAUCCAUUGACAAACAUUUCAUCAGAAUACAAGCAAUACAACGACGUUUGGAUUUUGGAUGGAAGGAAUUCUGCUCUUGUAGAAUUCUUCGUGGCUGUAGAGGCGACUUCAGUUGGACAGGCUAAUAGACUUUGAUUCUGUUGUAUUGUAUGUAAUGUAACCCCAGGCCUGAUUGAGAAAAUUUCCUUUUUGAGAGUUCUCUGAUGGAGAUGAUUCUAUAAAAGAGGUAGAAGCUGUGCAGGGUAGCUGCCAGAGGGAUUUGAACUUUUUUUUUUUUUGAAGAGAAGGGUGUCUGAACUUAAUUUCAUAUAAAGAACAGCAAUGUACAAGUGUCUUUGAGGUUACAUAGAGCUAGCAAACUAGCCCAAGUAGAGGAUUUGAACAUUGACUUCAUGGAGAGUUUGGACUUUGGAGGUGUGUUUGUGUGUCUCCACCAAUUGGCAACCUCGUUCUACUUCUGGAGUUGUGGUCUCAAGCAAUUGUUUUUUUUUUGAAAAAAAUGGACCAAUUGUUUUUCGGCCCAGUCACUGACUCACUGGACCGAAUCCCUCCUACUUGGGCCAAGCAAAUCUCCGGGUCGAGUCGGAAUCGGACUUCGUCGUCGUGGCCACACCACACCAAAAUCCCCAGCUCUCCCCACUCCCCGCCGGCCGCCGCCGCCACCAUGCUCCGCCUCCAAAAACAUGUCCACCCCCUCCACCGCUCCACCUCCCCCAUACACCUCUCCCUCCGGCGCGCCCUCCUAUCCAUCGCCGCCGCGGCCUCCUCCUCCCCGAGCCUCUUCGCCGCGGAGGACUACCUCGUCAGCACCUGCGGCCUCACCCGGGAGGAAGCAGCAAAGGCAGCCGAAUGCUUCUCCCACCGGAAAUCCCCCAUCAACGCCGACGCCGUGCUCGCCUUCCUCACCGGCCCGGCGCUCGGCCUCUCCAAGGCUGACGUUGCGCUCCUUGUGACCAAAGACCCGCGCAUCCUUAACAGUAGCGUCGACAACAACCUGCGGGUCCGCUUGGACGGCUUCCGCAGCCACGGCUUCUCCACCGCGCAGAUCCGCAGCUUCGUCCGUGUCGCCCCCUACGCCUUCCGCACCUUCAACAUCGACGAGAAGCUCGGCUUCUGGAUGUCUUUCUUUGGCUCGCCCGACAAGUUCCUCCGCAUCAUCAGGCGUAACAACCACCUCGUCUUCUCCGACCUCGACAAGGUGGUCAAGGCCAACAUCAGGCUGCUUCAGGUGCGCGGGUUUUCUGUUCAGGACAUUGACAGUAUGUGCGUGACCAACCCGAGGCUGCUCACCUGCAAGCCGGACGUCACCAGGGCCGUCCUCAUGCGCGCCGACGAGCUCGGCGUGCCGCGCAACUCGCUUAUGUUCAGGCAGGCGGUGAACACCGCAGCGGGCCUCAGCCCGAAGACGAUGGCCUCUAAGCUCAAGGUGAUACGCAAGACGCUCGGGUGCUCCGAUGCUGAGGUUGCCACAAUAGUGCAAAUGAACCCGCAGGUGCUGAUGACGUCCAGCGAUAAGCUUCAGCGUGUGUACGAGUUCUUGACCAAGGUGGUUGGAGUUGAUUCCAAGUACAUCCAGGGCAGGCCCACGAUCCUGAUGUACAGCCUGGAGCGCCGCCUAGCACCCCGGAAUUACGUGAUCAAGGCGCUCCAGGAGAAAGGAUUGAUCCGGAAAGAUUUGAGCUUCUACACGAUGGUUACAGUUGGUGAGAAGACGUUCUGCUCCAGGUAUAUACAUCCUUAUAAGGAUGUUCUUCCUGGCCUUGCCAGUUCAUAUGCAUCGGCUUGCAAAGGGAAAAUACCCACCUGAUGCUUGUUAUUAAGGAUUACGCUCCUUUGUUCCAAUGCUUUGAAUCUUCACUGACAAACUGUCUAUCCUGGCUGUAAUUGUGUUUAAUUCUUAGCACAUUCAGAUACCCUGAUGUGCACUCUGCAACUCUUUA